rnacentral:rRNA from 1 species
GCUUGCUCCUUGGAUCAGUGGCGAACGGGUGAGUAACACGUGAGUAACCUGCCCCAAACUCUGGGAUAAGCACUGGAAACGGUGUCUAAUACCGGAUACGAGCUUCAGCCGCAUGGCUAGGAGUUGGAAAGAAUUUCGGUUUGGGAUGGACUCGCGGCCUAUCAGCUAGUUGGUGAGGUAAUGGCUCACCAAGGCGACGACGGGUAGCCGGCCUGAGAGGGUGACCGGCCACACUGGGACUGAGACACGGCCCAGACUCCUACGGGAGGCAGCAGUGGGGAAUAUUGCACAAUGGGCGCAAGCCUGAUGCAGCAACGCCGCGUGAGGGACGACGGCCUUCGGGUUGUAAACCUCUUUUAGUAGGGAAGAAGCGAAAGUGACGGUACCUGCAGAAAAAGCACCGGCUAACUACGUGCCAGCAGCCGCGGUAAUACGUAGGGUGCAAGCGUUGUCCGGAAUUAUUGGGCGUAAAGAGCUCGUAGGCGGUUUGUCGCGUCUGCUGUGAAAACCCGAGGCUCAACCUCGGGCCUGCAGUGGGUACGGGCAGACUAGAGUGCGGUAGGGGAGAUUGGAAUUCCUGGUGUAGCGGUGGAAUGCGCAGAUAUCAGGAGGAACACCAAUGGCGAAGGCAGAUCUCUGGGCCGUAACUGACGCUGAGGAGCGAAAGCAUGGGGAGCGAACAGGAUUAGAUACCCUGGUAGUCCAUGCCGUAAACGUUGGGAACUAGAUGUGGGGACCAUUCCACGGUCUCCGUGUCGCAGCUAACGCAUU